UACGGGGGAGGCAAGCGUUGCUCGGAAUUACUGGGCGUAAAGCGUGCGCAGGCGGUUUUGUAAGACUGUCGUGAAAUCCCCGGGCUUAACCUGGGAAUGGCGAUGGUGACUGCAAGGCUAGAGUUUGGCAGAGGGGGGUAGAAUUCCACGUGUAGCAGUGAAAUGCGUAGAUAUGUGGAGGAACACCGAUGGCGAAGGCAGCCCCCUGGGUCAAAACUGACGCUCAUGCACGAAAGCGUGGGGAGCAAACAGG
rnacentral:rRNA from 1 species